rnacentral:rRNA from 1 species
AGUGGCGGACGGGUGAGUAACGCGUGAGAAUCUGCCUUGGGGUCGGGGACAACCACUGGAAACGGUGGCUAAUACCGGAUACGCCUUCGGGUAAAAGAUUUAUUGCCCUAAGAGGAGCUCGCGUCUGAUUAGCUAGUUGGUGAGGUAAGAGCUCACCAAGGCAGCGAUCAGUAGCUGGUCUGAGAGGACGAUCAGCCACACUGGGACUGAGACACGGCCCAGACUCCUACGGGAGGCAGCAGUGGGGAAUUUUCCGCAAUGGGCGAAAGCCUGACGGAGCAAGACCGCGUGAGGGAGGAAGGCUCUUGGGUUGUAAACCUCUUUUCUCAGGGAAGAAGCUCUGACGGUACCUGAGGAAUCAGCCUCGGCUAACUCCGUGCCAGCAGCCGCGGUAAUACGGAGGAGGCAAGCGUUAUCCGGAAUUAUUGGGCGUAAAGCGUCCGCAGGUGGCGAUUCAAGUCUGCUGUCAAAGCACGGGGCUUAACUCCGUAAAGGCAGUGGAAACUGAAUAGCUAGAGUGCCGUAGGGGUAGAGGGAAUUCCCGGUGUAGCGGUGAAAUGCGUAGAGAUCGGGAAGAACAUCGGUGGCGAAAGCGCUCUACUGGACGGCAACUGACACUCAGGGACGAAAGCUAGGGGAGCGAAUGGGAUUAGAUACCCC